rnacentral:rRNA from 1 species
UACAGAGGUCCCAAGCGUUGUUCGGAUUCAUUGGGCGUAAAGAGCGCGUAGGCGGUCCGGUAAGUCGGUUGUGAAAACUGGGGGCUCAACCCUCAGAGGCCGACCGAUACUGUCGGGCUAGAGUCCGGAAGAGGCGAGUGGAAUUCCUGGUGUAGCGGUGAAAUGCGCAGAUAUCAGGAGGAACACCAAUGGCGAAGGCAGCUCGCUGGGACGGUACUGACGCUGAGGCGCGAAAGCGUGGGGAGCAAACAGG